rnacentral:rRNA from 1 species
UACGUAGGGUGCGAGCGUUAAUCGGAAUUACUGGGCGUAAAGCGCACGUAGGCGGCUUUGUAAGUUAGAGGUGAAAGCCUGGAGCUCAACUCCAGAAUUGCCUUUAAGACUGCAUCGCUUGAAUCCAGGAGAGGUGAGUGGAAUUCCGAGUGUAGAGGUGAAAUUCGUAGAUAUUCGGAAGAACACCAGUGGCGAAGGCGGCUCACUGGACUGGUAUUGACGCUGAGGUGCGAAAGCGUGGGGAGCGAACAGG